CCUACGGGUGGCAGCAGUGAGGAAUAUUGGUCAAUGGACGAGAGUCUGAACCAGCCAAGUAGCGUGAAGGAUGACUGCCCUAUGGGUUGUAAACUUCUUUUAUAUGGGAAUAAAAUGUUCCACGUGUGGGAUUUUGUAUGUACCAUAUGAAUAAGGAUCGGCUAACUCCGUGCCAGCAGCCGCGGUAAUACGGAGGAUCCGAGCGUUAUCCGGAUUUAUUGGGUUUAAAGGGAGCGUAGGCAGGCUUUUAAGUCAGCUGUGAAAGUCCGCGGCUCAACCGUGGAAUUGCAGUUGAUACUGGAGGUCGUGAGUGCACAUAGGGAUGCCGGAAGUCAUGGUGUAGCGGUGAAAUGCUUAGAUAUCAUGAAGAACUCCGAUCGCGAAGGCAAGUGUCCGGAGUGCAACUGACGCUGAGGCUCGAAAGUGCGGGUAUCAAACAGGAUUAGAUACCCGGGUAGUC
rnacentral:rRNA from 1 species